rfam:Mastigocladus laminosus TT774 scaffold_8, whole genome shotgun sequence.
GUUGCAACUCACACAAAUCCCUAUUAGGGAUUGAAAC